UACAGAGGUCCCGAGCGUUGUUCGGAUUCACUGGGCGUAAAGGGUGCGUAGGUGGUGAGGUAAGUCGGAUGUGAAAUCUCCAAGCUCAACUCGGAAAUGGCAUUGGAAACUACCUUGCUCGAGGGUUGGAGGGGGGACUGGAAUACUUGGUGUAGCAGUGAAAUGCGUAGAUAUCAAGUGGAACACCAGUGGCGAAGGCGAGUCCCUGGACAACUCCUGACACUGAGGCACGAAAGCUAGGGGAGCAAACAGG
rnacentral:rRNA from 1 species